CCCAGUUCAAGGCCACCUUCUCAAAAAGGCGUCCUGGAUCCUUCUUUGAGCAAAGCAGCUCCCCUCCCUGGAGAGUGGAUGAGCUCUCGCUCCUAACCCCAUCCUUAGGAGAGACCCUGCCAGCUAUGGGUCCGCAAGACCCCCACUCGCUGCAAUCUGUGCCUGUCACGACAGAAAGACCAAAGGCAAGUCGACCGGCCUGGGGAAGCAGGAAGGAAGGCUCUGGCCAGAGACUUGGGACAAACGCAAGGUGGCGCAAGUUGGCACCAUGAGCUUGGUGCCCCGGGACAGAGCGUCUCCAAAGCGUGAGCCCGAUGACGCUGUAGGCGACGAACAUCACCACGAGAGGCAGGAAGCAAACCGACUAGCAUAUGUGCCCAGUGAGGGCUUCCCCUUCCGCAAAGGGGACACCAGUGUAAGCUCUGAGUCCUUCCAAGUGGCAGACAAGUUAUCAAAUGAGGAAAUAAAGAGGAAUGAAAAAGUUAACCAAUACAUUUGUUAAAAACUUAUGACAUUAAGCACAAGUGAAAGUGGCUCAGUCGUGUCCGACUCUUUGCGACCCCAUGGACUGUAUAGUCCAUGGAAUUCUCUAGCCUAGAAUACUGGAGUAUUUCCCUUCUCCAGGGGAUCUUCCCAACCCAGGAAUCGAACCGGAGUCUCCUGCAUUGCAGGCAGAUUCUUCACCAGCUGAGCUAUCAGGGAAGCCCCAUUAAGCACAAAGGAGGAAGUAAAAUUACAUAUCCCACCCCCACCGCUAU